CUGGUGUGCUAUCUUGGACUUCAGAAGAGUUACAAGCAAUGGAAUAUUGCCCACUGAACCUUUGCUGACUGUUCUCACAUUGCCACGAAGGAUAAAGGAUAAAGUUUUCUUUUGUGUGAGAGGGCCUGAACUUCCAACAUCUCCAAGAGUGCAGGAAGAAGAACUGACUGAUCCCAGCACAAGUGGUCUGUAAAGCUGGAAGGGGUCUUUUCCACAUGUUUGUGUACUCCCACACUCAUAAAAUGGAAAAUUGGUGAAAAUGGAGAAGAGGAUCAUGAUAAUCUGUGUAGAGAAUUCAGAUGUUUCAUACCAGUCCCCUGUACAAAGGCAGUAAGGUGGAGCCAUGCCAAGUCAAGAGACCUAAAGUUUUGUUACAAGAACUCUUACCUUAACAUACCAGCACUCGUGUCCUUCAGUUUUAACCUGCUGGAGUUAUGCAUAAUUGAUGCAGGGGUUAAGAAAGUCGUCUGACAUCAGCAUAAGGAAAAUGUUAAGCUUUCUCAGUUUCUAGCACAUGAUUUUUAAGACAUUUUAAUCCCCUCCCUUUCAAGUGUGGAUUUACUGUGGAGGUCAAGGGGUCAUUAACACUUCCCCUGUUCCUCCACCAUUAACAGGCAAAUUCAUCAAGGACUGGUGUUGGAUAGUGUUAUUUCAUUAAUGCACAUACAUGCAUUUGGGUUUUUUUCUAAGCCAAAAGAAGAAAUUUUCCUCAUCAUCCUAUUUCUUCAACAUUAUUUGAAGUUCAGAAAUUGUCUUUCAUUUAAAUAUCAGUAGCUCAAGGCUCCAGUAAGAGACAUUACUGUUUUUAGAUGCUGCAGAUGUUUUAGGAGGAAGAAAGGAGGCUUGCCCAAAAUUGUUUUGCUUGCUAUUGCAAGGACCAGAGCCACAACGGAGAAGAUUUUUCAUCCUGUUGCGCUGUACAUCCCUCUGUGGGCAGUAGAGAGGGGCAAGUUCAUAACUAGGCAGCCUCUUGUAGCAGACUGACAAAACAGAUGAGACUACAAUGGGAUAACUGGCACCGAAUAAAAUGUGAUAAAGCAAGGAUAGUUCCUCUGCCUGCUGUAGAAGCAGUCUGAUGCCUGCCUACAUAUGUCUUUUUGAAAGUCACUCAAGGAUGCACAGUUUUAUACAGCCAAAUACCCCUCAGUAUGUAAAUUUAUUUAGUCGGUGUCAUUUUGAGGUUAUGUACACAAAGGCAGAAGAAUAUGACAUCACCAAGUGCACCCCACCAGGUGGGGUGGUAUGGUUGACACACCUGAAGGAAAGGAUGCCAUCCAGAGGGACCUGGACAAGCUCAAAAAGUGGUUAUAUAGGAAUCUCAUGAGAUUUAAGAAGACCAAGUGCAAGGUCCCGCACCUGGAUCAGGGGAACCCCUAUGAAUAUAGACUGGGGAUGAGCAGAUCAAAAGCCUGCCAAGGGGAGCUUGGGAGUGCUGGUGGAUGAGAGGCUGGACAUGGCGUGGCAGUGUGCACUUGCCCAGAAAAUCAGUCUUACCCUGGGCUUAAUGAAAAGCAGGGAGAGGAUUUUGCCUGUCUGCUCUGCUCUCUUGAGACCCCAGCUGCAGUUCUGCACCCAGCUUUGGGGCCCUUAGCACAGGCAGACAGCAACUUGUUAGAGUGAGUCCAGAAGAGGGCUGCUAAGAAGAUAAGAGGAAAAGGGCACCUCUCCUGUGAGGAAAGGGGAAAAUAAUGUGGACUGUUCAGCCUGGAGAAGAGAAGACUGCAGGAUGACCUAUCCGUGGCCUUCCAGACCACAAGACUGGUGGAGUGAAAUUGUUUACAAGACCAUGACAGGACAAGGGAGAAUGGCUUCAAACUGACAGAGAGAAGGUUUAGAUUAAAUAAAGUUCUGUAACAGUGGUGAGGCACUGAAUGGGUGUUUUAGGUUGGAAAUGCAAGAUGUGGCUAGAGAUGUGUGUUCUAUUGCCAUCUGUUAGAGGUGGGGCAGUUAUCUUCUUCUAACUGGGCCACCUGUUAAAAGCGGGUAGGACAGUUUUCUUUAUCUCUUUCACAACCAAUCCUCCCUCCAGGAAAUAUCUUCUGUUAACGGACCACUGAGUCUCACUGAUAAAAUUACAUCAUCCCAUUGUGAGCUGCUCCGCCCCAGGGGAGGAGCCAGGAAUUCCUAUCUGGAUAUGAUCUGAGAGUUGGAACACCACAGUCAGCCUUUUCCCACUGGGCUCUCAGAGGAGUAGCUUUUCCCCACUAGAUUCCCAGAAGAAGACCAGGCCCAUCUAUACCACCACUGGACCUUCAGAAAAAAAGAUACCUUUCUACAAGAUCAUUGUUUCAACAGAACCACAUCUGUCACUCCAGGAGGACUUCAGCCACCAUUUAAUCAGACUGCUACCAACACCCUGACCCACAGGGUGUCAGGUCAUAUUCUGACUCUAUCAGUGUUGUUUUGUAUUACUGCAUUUUUAUUUUUACUUUUAUUUUUCCAAAUAAAGAACUGCUGUUCCUACUCCC